GUUCCCGCUUCGGCUUUGCUGGUUCGCGCGGGGUAGAGCUUCGAGCGAGUCCAUUGCGAUUGACUAUCUAGGGUUUGCUUUUCCUAUUCUGCAUUUAUUCGUUGCUGUUCUGCUUCUCGUGAAGUAGGGUUCUGAAAGAGUCCAAGCUUCUUCGCUUCCUCCGCCGUCGUUGAUCCUGAAGUCGACUACUCUAGGAUGGUUGCUGAGCGAAAAUAACCAGACAGUAGGCUGGAAGGACACUCUUGGAUUUAAACAAAUGCGUUCCUGUAAGUAGAUCUUUUCCUAACUUCAAAUCCCUAUACCCUAAACUUAUAUUGAUGUGAGGCUACUGAUGGCUUGAGGGAUCCUAAAUGAUUGUGGUUGUAGGAUUCACCAUUGUAUUGGAAAGAUGGAAAAGUUAGUAAAGGGAGAAAGCUAGUUUAGAAUGAUGCUAUUUAUACAUAAGUUUAACUGAAGUGAUUUCCACUACCAGAAAAAAAAUUAGGCCUGUUUGUUUACCCAUAAUUUUUUUAUCAUUUAAGCAAAUUAUUAUUGGGGGAAACUUUUUGACUGUACAUUGGUUGUCUAUGUUAUUUAGCAUUUUCUUGUUAAUUAUAUAGGUUUACAAGUUAAAUGAUAGUUUUUGUGUAAAAAAGUAAAUUCAAUAAAUAGUAUAGCAUUAAUAUGUAAAAGAAUUGGUUGUGUUGAAUUAUAUUCAUGAACUUUUCCAUUAUGAUAGGAUAUUGACUAGAUUUGACAUGCAUAGGAAACUAUAAUUGUUAAGGACAUUUAAUUUGUUGAAUCCCUUGAGCCUUUUCAUUUCCUGAUUUUAGUGCUGCAAAGAAAUUUUGAGUAUGAAUUAUUUGUCUUCUGAAGGUCUCAUGAACUGCUUUAUUUUUUUCAUUACUCGAGUUUGCCAUGCAAUUUUGUGUCAAACAUAAGAGUAAUUCAUUUGGCAUUCCUAGAGUUGGUCACAUUCAUUUUCAACUUUCAGUGUUUUGUGAUAUUUGCCCUCAAACAAAAUUUUUCUUGUUCAUAUUGUUAGAUAUGGUAACUCAUUUUUACGUUUAAUAAUUUAAAUUAAUCUUUUUGGAUGAGUUGGUUCAACUGAGUUUUAAAUUUAUUCACAAUUAAGUUGUUUUUUAUUUGGCAAGCAGAAGCUCAAGCCUUCACCGUAACCUCAAGCAACAACAACAACAACAAGUGAAUAAAAAUAAUAAUAAUAAUAAAAGCUUUAUUGAAUAUUUUUCUGCUUUUGCUGGCAAGCUUCCCUAUCUUCUAAUAAAUUGUUGACAUUAAACUUCAAAGGACCUCACAUGCAGAAAUACAUAGUUGUCUGCCACUUAAUAUUCUUGCUUUUUCACAAAGCUUCAAAUGCAUGUCAAAAUUUGCGGUCCGCAAGCAUCAUUAAUUGACAUUAACCACAAUUAAGUGGAGUUUGUGCUAAACAAAUUAAUUGAAACAUGAUUUUCACAAAUAAUUUCGAACAUGAGCUAGACUCUAAUGAAUAAAUUUUAGGAGCCAAGCACAAACAAACAAUGAGUUCACUCAUGUUAGGAUCAUUUACAACCCUAAAGCCCAUUUAUUCAUUUUAAUAUUGAUUAAUUGAUUUUCUCCUUCUACUUUUAUAUUUACCAACAUUCUUUUAAAAACUUUCCUCAACAUUUAAAAUAACAUUUAAAUCAUAAAUUCUCAAAGAAUCAUCCCCGUGCACAUCCGUUUCUUCCCCAACAUCCCAAUUUGCUGAUGAAUCACAGUAGCUAACCAACCACGUUGAUCCACACCAAUAUCCUUUGAUUUAAAUUCCAAAUGUGCUAGCAACACAUCAUUAUCAACAAGGGAAAUGAGAACAUAAAUUAAUCAAGGAAAGUAUCAACUCCAGUUGUUGAAACUCUAUAAAAUUUCUGCACAGCCUCCAGUAGCUUCAAGCUGGGAUCAAUUUUGAGAGCACGUUUGCCAAUUUUGACAAGUCUUUUCUUCAUGGAUUUCAUGAUGGAACGCACCCUUCUCAGCUUCUUAUUUUUCAAACAGCAAACACUCCACUUAAUUGUGGUUAAUGCCAAUUAAUGAUGCUUGCGGAAUGCAAAUUUUGACGUGCUUUUGGAGCUUUGUGAAAAAGCAAGAAUAUUAAGUGGUAGACAACUGUCUUUCUGCAUGUGACAUCCUUUGGUCUUUAAUGUCUGCAAUUAAUUGGAAGAUAGGGAAGCUUGCAAGCAAAAAUAGAAAAAUAUUCAAUAAAGCUUUUUAUUAUUAUUAUUUUUAUUUACUUGCUUGGUGUUACGGUGAAGGCUUGAGCUUGCACUUGCCAAAUAAAAAACAACUUAAUUAUGAUGAAAUUUUAAACUCAGUUGAGCCAACUCAUCUAUAAGAUUAAUUUAGAGUAUUAAACGACAUGUAAAGGAUAUUUUUCAUAAUGGUCUGUUAUACUAAUCUCAACAUGGCUUUGAGUAUCUGAAAGAUCAAGUCUUGUGCUGCAGAUUCUUUUGUGAGCUGGUCAAAAGUGAUUUUUUUCUUGUCCUCUCUCAGCCUAGAGAAAUUAUUUGGUGCCGAGUCCGGAUGUAGCUCUGCGUUCUAACCCUCCCUUCUCAACUUAUUGGAUAUAUUGCUUCUAAUUUUAUUGGACGCGAUGCUCGAAGUGUAUGGUUCUAAUUUUGGGGUUAUGGCUGGUGGUGAAUUAAGGAUGGAAGAUGGAGAUGCCAUAACCAUUCUUGGAGAGCUGGUUUUCUGUCGCUGAUCGGUGCUUGGCUGCAAGCAAAGGCAACAGCUUGGAUCUUGGGGUGGAUGUCUCUCAGCCUUUGUAGCUUCUAUUUUCGUGCCGGUCUGCCAUUUGACUUGAUCUUGCAGGUACUCAAUGCUGGUUUUGAUGAUCUUUCCAAGGACAAAUCUGUGAAGUUCCUCGACACAAUGUUCCCUUGUUCUAAGGACAAAUCCAUGAGGUUCCUCUAUCCACAUAACUUGGCACAACAAACUUUCAUGGCAUCUAUCACAUUUUCAAGGUUUAUUCUUAAUGGGUUGUUACUACCAACAAAUAGGAAGCUCGAAUGGGCAUUCGAGGGAUCAACCUCCUAUGGGUUGGCAAACUGUUUAUGAAGAAACCAUUAUGAAAAACGAGGAAGGGAGUUUUAUUUUUGUUGCAUUCAUUUCAGCCUAUUCUUACACAGCUUCUCAUUGCACAAGAUCAACAUGCUUAAUUAGCUUCUUUAUUCUUACCUUUAAUUUGGUUGUGUUGAAUUAUAUUCAUGAACUUUUCCAUUAUGAUAGGAUAUUGGCUAGAUUUGACAUCCAUUGGAAACUAUAAUUGUUAAGGGCAUUUAAUUUGUUGA